AUUGAACGCUGGCGGCAGGCCUAACACAUGCAAGUCGAACGGUAGCACAGAGAGCUUGCUCUCGGGUGACGAGUGGCGGACGGGCGAGUAAUGUCUGGGAAACUGCCUGAUGGAGGGGGAUAACUACUGGAAACGGUAGCUAAUACCGCAUAACGUCGCAAGACCAAAGAGGGGGACCUUCGGGCCUCUUGCCAUCAGAUGCGCCCAGAUGGGAUUAGCUAGUAGGUGGGGUAACGGCUCACCUAGGCGACGAUCCCUAGCUGUCUGAGAGGAUGACCAGCCACACUGGAACUGAGACACGGUCCAGACUCCUACGGGAGGCAGCAGUGGGGAAUAUUGCACAAUGGGCGCAAGCCUGAUGCAGCCAUGCCGCGUGUAUGAAGAAGGCCCUCGGGUUGUAAAGUACUUUCAGCGGGGAGGAAGGCGAUAAGGUUAAUAACCUUGUCGAUUGACGUUACCCGCAGAAGAAGCACCGGCUAACUCCGUGCCAGCAGCCGCCGUAA
rnacentral:rRNA from 1 species